rnacentral:lncRNA from 1 species
UAAAUAAAUAAAUAAAUAUAAAUUAAUAAAUAAAAAGAUUCUAGAAGGGUUUUGCAUACAGGUUAUUUCAUUAAUGUCUUUGAGUUCUUGCUCUACUUUAAAAAAACCAAAGCUGCAAAUCAGACGAUGUUAUGAGUAUGGUUUAAGCAAAAAAAAUAUGAUAGGAAACACCAACCAGUGGUCUCAUAUCCGACAAAAAGCCUGGGUCCCACAUGGGGAUUGAUGAAUGCCUUAUCAUUUGUGUUUUGGGUUAAAAUGAACCAUUUAAAGGAAACCAUUUCUUCAGUUCCUUGCUUUGUAAUCAUUUCUUUUGAUUAACCAACUGACUGCUGGGCCUGAAUGCAUCUGAAAGAGGCCUUCUGAGGUCACGUCUCUGAGGGCUGGGUUCAGGAAUGAAUGAGAAUGCAUGUGCAAACCCCUCAGCCAAGUGCCCACAGGAAGUGCCCAACCAGCUGUGCCACUGCGGCAUUUAUUAUAAAUAAAAAUAAAUUUUAUUUAUUUUAUUUAUUUAUUUAUUUUCACUUAUGGUGUGUUUUGAAUCGUCUGGAAAAAGAAAGUCACCGUUGGACACACAAGUUGCAGGGGUCUUCCCUGACCACGGGGGCUUCCUUGGUCCGUGUCUAGUCACCCACUCCAUGUCUCUCAUGCUUUGAUAGUCAGUUGUGUUUGCCUGUGUGCCUCCUCACCAGAGGCAAGCAAGAGGGCAGGGAACAGGCUGCCAGGAAGCUCUCUUGUCCGUGGGAUGUCAUGCAAAUUAACUCCUCAAGGUGACAAGAUGCCAAGCCCAGGGCUGCUAUCCUCAUUCCCCCUUCCUGUCACUACUUCUGUGGGUAGAAGAGGCAGAAGAGUUUCAACCUGGGCAGUUCAGGGCAGCUACUUAGAGCUUGAUGGGCUCUAAGUAAAGGUUAGGGGCACACAGGAGUCAAGUCACCUUUCCUGCUGUUUUUUUUCCCUUCAAAUCCUGAACCGAUUUGAAGCCUCUCUGAAUGGCUGCCUGUUUACACCAAACAACCCCCAAGGCAGUCAGCACCUUGCCUUUCUUGUCUUUUCUUCCUUCUGGGCCUGUGCACACUGGGCAGUGGCCCCCUUUAUCCGAAAGACCUGGGCCAGGGCUUGGGGGUGUUUGUGAUGUGGGGUUCUGUUUUUUUGGGGGGUGGGGACGGGGGCUGGUGGGGAGAGGUUCCAGUGAAAACUGGAAAACCUGCUAGAAAAAUUCUAAAAGAGCUGUAACACUGGGGUUUUGUUUCUAAUACAAAGUAAAACUACUGAUCGCCAGUCAAGAGGGUGAACCCAGCUGAUGUGGGAAAGCACCUCCAACCACCCUCACCCUGUUGCCCCAACACCUAACUAAAAUACUCUAUAAAAUUUUUUUUAAGUGUAAAAAGUGAAGCUGUGCUUACACAGGAAAAGGACACUUCCAGGUGCCAGAAACCAAGAACUCAGCCAUCAUGAACAGGAAGUGAGGCCACCAGACCAGAUACUCACUUUGAGGAUGUUAUUUUAACACCCUCACAGGGACAGGAGCCAAAGCCACAGCCCCUGUGGGGAUCUGGGUUGGGGAACUGGGCUCUCUGUAAAAAGCUAAGAAGUGGCAAAAUUGUUGCAGAAGUAAGAUCUGAACUUUCUUCCCACCUUGAAAGUGGGAAGCUCAGCUAGGUGCAGUGGCUCAUGCCUGUAAUCCCAGCAUUUUAGGAGGCCGAGGCAGGCAGAUCACUUGAGGCCAGGAAUUUGAAACCAGGCUGGCCAACGUGGUGAAACCAGUCUCUACUAAAAAUACAAAAAUUAGCUGAGCGUGAUGACACAUGCCUGUAGUCCCAGCUACUCAGGAGGCUGAGGCACAAGAAUUGCUUGAACCCAAAGAGGCAGGGGCUGCAGUGAGCUGAGAUCGUGUCACCGUACUCCAGCCUGGGUGACAGAGUGAGAGACUGUCUCAAAAAAGAAAGAAAAGAAAGAGAGAGAGAGAGAGCGCUCAGAGCUUGGAACUAACAUAAAAUAAAUAAAAAUCAGUCUGGAACAGAGGGCCCCAUAAGAUCCACACAGAGGCAACCAAAACCACCCCACAAAGAGUCCUGCUCUGGCUAAAUAGAAGCCCCUGCAAAAACUGAUGCGGCAGACAACACUCCAGAGCACUCUAAGCAGCUCAAGUGCAUCCACCCAGGGGAGAAGUGCGGCUCGCAAGCGUCACACU